AUGCCAGCAUCAUGGGCAUCUCGUUCAGCAGGGGCUGCUUUCCGCCGCUCUCUGCAGCCCCACGCCAGCUUCGUCAGCCUAGGACCUGGCCCCAAUUUUCUUUAUAAUUCACAUUUUUGUUUAAAGUUCCCUACGUCCUCAUUAGAGUUAAUAACCAGAAUCGGCCACUCCAUGGCACAGGAGCACUUCGGAGAGACGUCAGGUGGCACUGCCCGAGUGAGGCCACCCCGUCCCCAGGGCCGUCCCCAGGGCUGCCCCCAGGGCCGGCUCCCGGGUCCCGCUGCUCGAGGCGGGCCAGCGCCUGCGCACGACGGUUUCUCGCGUCUCCUCCAGAGCCCAGGCUACCCCAAGGGGCGGGCACGCUGUCCGCACACGCGCAGGUGCACUGGACGGCUCCAUGGAGGAGGUGCGCAGGGGGCAGCCAGGCCUGCGGGUGUUUUCUCCUGCCCGGUCUUUGCAGACACCUUCGCUGAACAGAGAGCUCUGGAGCUGAGGCCCAGACCCAGCGGCCAGUGUGAGUGGCCACGAGACGGUGGUCCCCUGCCCCUGCUGCAGCUUCCCACCUGUAAGGGAAGCUCACCUGAGAGGACGCGCUCACGGGACAGUGCCACCUUGCGUGCACGUCUGUUCACGGUCAGCCCCACUUGCUACUGGCUCACGGGGCUCCCAGGCGCAGGCCACACAGAUGACACGCAGACCUUCCCGCAGGAGCGAGCUGCGCCACGGAGACGCCAGCCACUGCGGCCCAGGCCUCGCCCGGACAGCUCGAAGCCCACCCGACAGGCUGGGGCCCGGCCCGCUAAGACCGCGGCGCCUGGGGACCCAAAGCCGAGGAGACACGCUCAGCAAGACGGCGUUCGGCUCUCCAGAGCUCGGAGAAAACGGAGGCCUAGUGAGCGAUGGCGGAUUUUCACGACAUCAAGGUCCCUGGUGUUCUUCCCCGUGGUGGCAGCGUGCGCCCGGCCCCAUCACCGCUGUCACCGAAGCAGGCGGCGAGGAGCCAGGAAAAGGCAGGGAUGGAAGUAA
rnacentral:lncRNA from 12 species